UGUACAGGAAGACAGACAGGAAGGAUGCACGCUUUGUACGACACCGCGGGCACGUUUCUGGCGGCGCUGACAAGGCACACAGAGGUACCUGAAGUCCAAGAGCCGCAGUCCUCGCUGGUAGCCGACCUGGUUUUUCUCGAAUCGGCGCCCGUGAACGUGCUGCUUGUGGCCGGUGUCACUUGCGUGGUGUGGCGUUUCUGCGCGCGGAAGAAGGCGGCCGCCCGUCAAGCACGUUUUACCGGCGACAUCUGUGAGUUGGCUUACCGGCGGCUGUGGCUUAAACAGGGCGAGGCGACGGAGGCGCUGGGCAUUGGGGACGAGCGCUGCGCUAAAACGAUGUCGCUAAAGAGGCGAAUGCUGAAGGAGGAGGAGGAGGAGGUCGACGUGCGAGGGGCUGCGGCGGAAAACGCAGAGUCUAAAGGGGAGACCCGAGGCCCGCCGUCGCCACAGCUCGUUCAAUGCCAUCGUUGCAAAAAGCUGAAGCGAGCGAGAAGCGGCAAGCAGGGAAUCGACGAAGAAGGAGACGGCCAUCCGGCAGCAGAGGGCGCCAAACACAAGGUCAAUGAAGAAGAAGAUGAUAAGGUGAACUUACCAAAGCAGCUACAGAAGACCAUCCAAGACGUGGCCGUCAUAGACAGCGUAAGUCACCUGAGAGCUGACAACGAGUACAAGCUGGUAUUCGAAGAGUACAGCGUGGGCCCCUUGCUCGGGAAAGGCGGAUUCGGUAUGGUCCGAGCGGGAACGUCAAAGGAAAGCAGCAAACCUGUGGCCAUCAAAUUUGUACAACUGCCCACCAAAAACGAGUGGAUUCAUUUGAGUGUCAGGACCUGAUCCAGCACUGCCUUCACGUGCAGCCCACCGAGCGCAUCAUGCUGGACUAUCUGGAGUUUCACCGCUGGAUGACCUGACGGCGCCCCCCGGAGGUCCAACCACCUCGGCAGCUACUUCUCAAAUGAACAUCGACUUCCGGUCAACGCCCGCUUUAAACUGAGCAGGAGGCGGAGCUUCAGAUGGUCCUCUGGAAGUCAGGUCGGCUUUUUUAUCCUGCAGCAGUUCCUCCGCUCUAAGGCAGGGGACAUAACAAGAGAUUUUAUUCUACUGAAUGCUGAACGGGGAGGGCAGCUGCCUCAGUGUCAGACCCCCUAGUGUGGUCGCUUAAAUGACCCGAAAACGAGGAAGGAAAAUCAAAAUGAUCAUACGGAAGUCCUGACUUGAACCCAAGAGAGAGAGAGAGUGGCAGAUCCUGACAUGACUGGCUGCUAAUGUGUCAAAAUUACAGCAGUUCUGCAAAGAAAGACUAAAUGCAGGAAAUUCCGCCUGGCUCCCGUGAUGUCA